rnacentral:rRNA from 1 species
UACGGGGGGGCAAGCGUUGUUCGGAAUUACUGGGCGUAAAGGGCUCGUAGGCGGCCAACUAAGUCAGACGUGAAAUCCCUCGGCUUAACCGAGGAACUGCCCUCCAAACUGCUUCGCUUGAGACCGGGAGAGGUGAGUGGAAUUCCCAGUGUAGCGGUGAAAUGCGUAGAUAUUGGGAGGAACACCAGUGGCGAAGGCGGCUCACUGGACCGGUACUGACGCUGAUGCGCGAAAGCGUGGGGAGCGAACAGG